AAGGAAUUACUUGCUGCGCCCCUCUCAAUCCCUGAGACCCUAACUUGUGAUGUUUCCCGUUUAAAUCCACGGGUUAGGUUCUUGGGAGCUGUGAGUUGUGCCUU
rnacentral:pre_miRNA from 1 species